UACGUAGGGGCCAAGCGUUGUCCGGAUUUAUUGGGCGUAAAGAGCUCGUAGGCGGUUCGGCAAGUCAGCUGUGAAAUCUCCACGCUCAACGUGGAGGGGUCAGCUGAUACUGCUGUGACUUGAGUCCGGGUGAGGGGAUGUGGAAUUCCCGUGUAGCGGUGAAAUGCGUAGAGUAUCGGGAGGAAGCCGGUGGCGAAGGCGGCAUCCUGGACCGGCAUUGACGCUGAGGCGCGAAAGCUAGGGGAGCAAACGGG
rnacentral:rRNA from 1 species